rnacentral:rRNA from 1 species
UACGUAGGGGGCAAGCGUUGUCCGGAAUCAUUGGGCGUAAAGAGCGUGUAGGCGGCCUGGUAAGUCCGCUGUGAAAGUCCAGGGCUCAACCCUGGAAUGCCGGUGGAAACUGUCAGGCUCGAGUCCGGAAGAGGCGAGUGGAAUUCCUGGUGUAGCGGUGAAAUGCGCAGAUAUCGGGAAGAACACCCGUGGCGAAGGCGGUUGCCUGGAGCUUUGCUGACGCUGAGGCGCGAAAGCGUGGGGAGCGAUCCGG